AUUGAACGCUGGCGGCAGGCCUAACACAUGCAAGUCGAACGAGUGGCGGACGGGUGAGUAAUGUCUGGGAACCUGCCUGUUAGUGGGGGAUAACGUCCGGAACCGGUAGCUAAUACCGCAUACCAUCAGAUGUGCCCAGAUGGGAUUAGCUUGUUGGUGGGGUAAAGGCUCACCCAGGCGACGAUCCCUAGCUGGUCUGAGAGGAUGAUCAGCCACACUGGAACUGAGACACGGCCCAGACUCCGACGGGAGGCAGCAGAGGGGAAUAUUGCACAAUGGGCGCAAGCCUGAUGCAGCCAUGCCGCGUGUAGGAAGAAGGCCUUCGGGUUGUAAAGUACUUUCAGCGGGGAGGCGUUACCCGCAGAAGAAGCACCGGCUAACUCCGUGCCAGCAGCCGCGGUAAUUC
rnacentral:rRNA from 1 species